rnacentral:rRNA from 1 species
AGUGAACGCUGGCGGCAUGCCUAACACAUGCAAGUCGAACGGCAGCGGACCUUCGGGUGCCGGCGAGUGGCGAACGGGUGAGUAACAUAUCGGAACGUACCCAGUCGUGGGGGAUAACUAUCCGAAAGGAUAGCUAAUACCGCAUACGUCCUGAGGGAGAAAGCGGGGGAUCGCAAGACCUCGCGCGAUUGGAGCGGCCGAUAUCGGAUUAGCUAGUUGGUGGGGUAAAGGCCCACCAAGGCGACGAUCUGUAGCGGGUCUGAGAGGAUGAUCCGCCACACUGGGACUGAGACACGGCCCAGACUCCUACGGGAGGCAGCAGUGGGGAAUUUUGGACAAUGGGGGCAACCCCUGAUCCAGCCAUGCCGCGUGAGU